GAGGACGUGAAACCGGUAGGAUGGAAACGGAUAGAGCCAACGAACAAGCCCGUAUUCAGCUAGUCGGCCCGGCCCCUCUAUUGCCGCCGGCUAUUGCAUUUGCGGUUAAUUUUUCCUAAGGCUUUUGGUGGUUUCCUGCAAACUGCCCGGCAAAGGCCUCUUCCUUCAACGGACUUGGAACCUACCCGCGGGGAGUAUGAUCGUCGCUGCUCGUAACUUUGGGGGCUAGGUGAAUUCCCGCUGUCUGAUCGUGCGGCUAGCCGGUCGGUCCGUCUCAUACUACUACGCCUUGUUGGUUGGUCUCGGCGGUACACCAGUGCCCUGGCCACACCUCGGUGUAAAAGUUGGUCAUCUCUCCCACCCGUCUUGAAACACCGACCAAGGAUUCUAUCGUCCCCACUAAUCAUUUAGUGGAAUACUCAUAGGCGCAAUGAAAGUGAAGGUCUCCUCGCGAGACUCAUAUGCCAUCUGUUGUG
rnacentral:rRNA from 1 species